rnacentral:lncRNA from 10 species
UUUGUCCCGGAUUAGUCAAGAUACAAGUAGAAAUCCUUACACCUGCCAAUACCCACAAAGGCAUCUAUGUUUUCACACAGGCCCCUCUAAUUACAUAUCAGCAGUUAAGAGGUUUCUCCCCUUUCUAGCCACUUCUAAGAUGCUAAUGAUCCUGGGAGUUUUAGCCUUUUGUUGCCUGCUGCUGCGGUGUUUGAACCAUUCCAGUAAGCCAGCAACUUUGCAGGGACAAGGACAGAGCAUGCAAAGCAUGGAGGGAAAGUAGGAGUGUUUGUACCAUGAGUCUCUGCACACCCCUCAUCUUGGCUAUAGUAGACUGGACCACAGAUGGACACUGUACCAUGCAGAUUACUUCUUCCAGGAACUUGGAUUGAGACCAAGAGACUCAUGGCAUCCUCUUCUGGCUGCAAGACUUAUAUUUUUAUAUUUAGGCAAUAGAAGAGGGGCAGCAGAUGCCUACCUUGUGGAACAGAGGAAGGCAGGCAGUUCACAGAGAAAGAGGACUAGACAGUCGGACAGAGGGGAGCAGGCUUGGGAGCUUCGUGGAGCCAAUGUCCAUCUCUGUCCUUCCUUUCCACUCGAUGCUCCUGAGUCCCUGCCUUCAACCCCCGCUUGUUUGCUUAAACUGGUUUGAGUUUGUUUCUGCUGUUUGAAAAACAACAACAACAAAACCCCAAACAAAACAAACAUCAAACAAAAACCAAAACAAAACCAUUAACUCACUCAUCCCUGUGAUUGUAUUUUGAGAAAUAAAGGUGAUUUCCUUCAGAAAACAAAGCGUAA